rnacentral:rRNA from 1 species
GAGUGAAGAGGGAAGAGCUCAUCAUUGGAAUCUGGCAGUGUUACACUGUCCGAGUUGUAGAUGAGGAGUAGUCCGUCUGGACUGCAUGGCGUCCAAGUACAAUAGGCCGUCAGUGGGACAUCAUAGAGGGUGACAAUCCCGUCCUUGACGCCAAUGUGCAAGUCUAUUACGAUGGCUAUCUCAGAGAGUCGAGCAGUUUGGGAUUUGCUGCUUAAACAUGGGAGGUAGAUUCCUUCUAAAGCUAAAUACAGGCGAGAGACCGAUAGAGAACAAGUACCGCAAGGGAAAGAUGAAAUAGCACUCUGUGAAGGGAGUCAAAAGGCGUGAAAUUGUUGCGAGAGAAGCGAUUCAAGUCAGCGUAGCUAGGCCCAUCAAGCGUCUUCGCUUUGGACUAGCUUUGCCAGCGGUCUUGUCCCUUAAAGAGACUUGACUUGUAAUAUGUCCAGCCUGGCGUGCACAGGCAGCCCCUUCUGGGGGCCAGUGGCAUGGCUGGUGGAAUGGCUUGCAAUCGACCCGUCUUGAAACACGGACCAAGGAGUCUAACAUGUAUGCGAGUAUAAGGGUGGCAAACCCGUAUGCGCAAUGAAAGUGAUUUUCGGUGAUUGAGAAUGGCCUGAUGACCAGACAAGCAAUAUAUGUCCCUCGUACGGCCAUUGCCCAAGUUCCGUGGUAGAUCCCACGAACAUGGAGUUGGAGCAUACAUGCUAGGACCCGAAAGAUGGUGAACUAUGCCUGGACAAAGCGAAGCCAAAGGAAACUCUGGUGGAGGCUUGUAGCGAUUCUGACGUGCAAAUCGAUCGUCUGAUCUGGGUAUAGGGGCGAAAGACUAAUC